rnacentral:rRNA from 1 species
UACAGAGGUCCCGAGCGUUGUUCGGAAUUAUUGGGCGUAAAGGGUGCGUAGGCGGUUUGGUAAGUCUUAUGUGAAAUCUACAGGCUCAACUUGUAGUCUGCAUGAGAAACUGCCGGGCUUGAGUAUGGGAGAGGUGAGUGGAAUUCCUGGUGUAGCGGUGAAAUGCGUAGAUAUCAGGAGGAACACCUGUGGCGAAAGCGGCUCACUGGACCAUAACUGACGCUGAUGCACGAAAGCUAGGGGAGCAAACAGG